CAGUCGCCGCGGUAAUACGAAGGGUGCAAGCGUUAAUCGGAGUUACUGGGCGUAAAGCGUGCGUAGGCGGUUUGUUAAGUCUGCUGUGAAAUCCCCGGGCUCAACCUGGGAAUGGCAGUGGAUACUGGCAAGCUAGAGUGUGUCAGAGGAUGGUGGAAUUCCCGGUGUAGCGGUGAAAUGCGUAGAGAUCGGGAGGAACAUCAGUGGCGAAGGCGGCCAUCUGGGACAACACUGACGCUGAGGCACGAAAGCGUGGGGAGCAAACAGGAUUAGAUACCCCCGUAGUCCCUGUCUCUUAUAC
rnacentral:rRNA from 1 species